rnacentral:rRNA from 1 species
UACGUAGGGGGCAAGAGUUAAUCGGAAUUACUGGGCGUAAAGCGUGCGCAGGCGGUCGCGUAAGCCAGAUGUGAAAUCCCCGGGCUUAACCUGGGAACUGCAUUUGGUACUGCGUGGCUGGAGUGCGGCAGAGGAAGGUGGAAUUCCUGGUGUAGCAGUGAAAUGCGUAGAGAUCAGGAGGAACACCGAUGGCGAAGGCAGCCUUCUGGGCCAGCACUGACGCUCAUGCACGAAAGCUUGGGGAGCAAACAGG